GACAACGCUGGCGGCGUGCUUAACACAUGCAAGUCGAACGGAGUUUAAAUCAGUAGUUUACUACAGAUUUAAACUUAGUGGCGGACGGGUGAGUAACACGUGGGCAACCUGCCCUAAAGAGGGGGAUAACACCGAGAAAUCGGUGCUAAUACCGCAUGACAUUAGAGCUUCGCAUGGAGCUUUAAUCAAAGGAGCAAUCCGCUUUAGGAUGGGCCCGCGUCUGAUUAGCUAGUUGGUGAGGUAACGGCUCACCAAGGCGACGAUGCGUAGCCGACCUGAGAGGGUGAUCGGCCACAUUGGGACUGAGACACGGCCCAGACUCCUACGGGAGGCAGCAGUGGGGAAUAUUGCACAAUGGGGGAAACCCUGAUGCAGCAACGCCGCGUGAGUGAUGACGGCCUUCGGGUUGUAAAGCUCUGUCUUCAGGGACGAUAAUGACGGUACCUGAGGAGGAAGCCACGGCUAACUACGUG
rnacentral:rRNA from 1 species